rnacentral:lncRNA from 1 species
UUGUGUGAUAUACAAUAAAUAAGGUGAUUGAUCGAUGUCAGCCCCUUCCAACCUCUACCUCAUAAAUGAUAUGGGUUUGGUUUGUACUCAAUUCUUGUUAUCUAUUGACCAGCACUGCAUUUUUUUAAAAAAAAUGUGUCGUGUUUCAUGAAUGACAACAGUAGGUUUUUAAUCAACUUCCCUAUCACACUCAUUAAUCAUCAUCCUUUACUAUUCUUGUCUUUAAAUAUUAA